CCUACGGGUGGCUGCAGUGAGGAAUAUUGGUCAAUGGGCGCGAGCCUGAACCAGCCAAGUAGCGUGAAGGAUGACUGCCCUACGGGUUGUAAACUUCUGUUAUAAAGGAAUAAAGUGAGGCGCGUGUGCCUUUUUGUAUGUACUUUAUGAAUUAGGAUCGGCUAACUCCGUUCCAGCAGCCGCGGUAAUACGGAGGAUCCGAGCGUUAUCCGGAUUUAUUGGGUUUAAAGGGAGCGUAGAUGGGUUGUUAAGUCAGUUGUGAAAGUUUGCGGCUCAACCGUAAAAUGGCAAUUGAUACUGGCAGACUAGAGUAAAGUUGAGGUAGGCGGAAUUCGUGGUGUAGCAGUGAAAUGCUUAGAUAUCACGAAGAACUCCGAUUGCGAAGGCAGCUUACUAAACUGCCACUGACAUUGAUGCUCGAAAGUGAGGGUAGCAAACAGGAUUAGAUACCCUGGUAGUC
rnacentral:rRNA from 1 species